UACAUUUGAGUGAGUGGCGAACUGGUGAGUAACACGUGGGAAACUUGCCCAGAAGCGGGGGAUAACACCUGGAAACAGAUGCUAAUACCGCAUAACAACUUGGACCGCAUGGUCCGAGCUUGAAAGAUGGUUUCGGCUAUCACUUCUGGAUAGUCCCGCGGCGCAUUAGCUAGAUGGUGAGGUAACGGCUCACCAUGGCAAUGAUGCGUAGCCGACCUGAGAGGGUAAUCGGCCACAUUGGGACUGAGACACGGCCCAAACUCCUACGGGAGGCAGCAGUAGGGAAUCUUCCACAAUGGACGAAAGUCUGAUGGAGCAACGCCGCGUGAGUGAAGAAGGGUUUCGGCUCGUAAAACUCUGUUGUUAAAGAAGAACAUAUCUGAGAGUAACUGUUCAGGUAUUGACGGUAUUUAACCAGAAAGCCACGGCUAACUACGUGCCAGCAGCCGCGGUAAUACGUAGGUGGCAAGCGUUGUCCGGAUUUAUUGGGCGUAAAGCGAGCGCAGGCGGUUUUUUAAGUCUGAUGUGAAAGCCUUCGGCUCAACCGAAGAAGUGCAUCGGAAACUGGGAAACUUGAGUGCAGAAGAGGACAGUGGAACUCCAUGUGUAGCGGUGAAAUGCGUAGAUAUAUGGAAGAACACCAGUGGCGAAGGCGGCUGUCUGGUCUGUAACUGACGCUGAGGCUCGAAAGUAUGGGUAGCAAACAGGAUUAGAUACCCUGGUAGUCCAUACCGUAAACGAUGAAUGCUAAGUGUUGGAGGGUUUCCGCCCUUCAGUGCUGCAGCUAACGCAUUAAGCAUUCCGCCUGGGGAGUACGACCGCAAGGUUGAAACUCAAAGGAAUUGACGGGGGCCCGCACAAGCGGUGGAGCAUGUGGUUUAAUUCGAAGCUACGCGAAGAACCUUACCAGGUCUUGACAUACUAUGCAAAUCUA
rnacentral:rRNA from 2 species